rnacentral:rRNA from 1 species
UACAGGCCUAACACAUGCAAGUCGAGGGGUAGCGUGAGGGAAGCUGCUCCCUGACGACGACCGCGAAUGGGUGAGUCACGCGUGUCCAACCUGCCCCGUGCCCGGGGAUAGCCCUUGGAAAUGAGGAUUAAGACCCGAUAUGUGGCGCUUCCGCAUGGCGGCGCCAUGAAGCAGGCACGGGAUGGGGACGCGUCGGAUUAGCUUGACGGCGGGGCAACGGCCCACCGUGGCGACGAUCCGCAGGGGUUCUGAGAGGAAGGUCCCCCACACUGGCACUGAGACACGGGCCAGACUCCUACGGGAGGCAGCAGUGAGGAAUAUUGGUCAAUGGGCGGGAGCCUGAACCAGCCAAGUUAAGCGUGCAGGACGACGGCCCUACGGGUUGUAAACUGCUUUUCCGGGAGGAUAAAGUGAGCCACGCGUGGUUCAUUGCAGGUAUCCCGGGAAUAAGGACCGGCUAAUUCCGUGCCAGCAGCAGC